rfam:Lactobacillus vini DSM 20605 Scaffold46, whole genome shotgun sequence.
GCACAGCUGCAACCGCACAUGAGCAGUUAAGUAAAGUUCUCUUUUUUGAGGCACUGGAUCGUGGCGAGUCUAAGUAGAAUA